UUUUAAAAAUCAAAUAAAAAAAUGGAAUUCUGGAAAUGGUCCUUGAGUUAAAAAAUAAUAAUAAAAUGCAAGAAGCUACAGAGAAGGAGAAUGCUCGGAGGAAGGUGGGAUUCUCCUUAUGGAGGAAGCAGAGAUGGCUGGGGGAGGGGGGACAACCCUGUGGGCCAAACAUGUGGGGACAACCUUGCCGCGGGGACAAAACAGUCAAUGGUGUGUUGAAAUACUGCCUGCUUUCCUUCCUCGGCCUCGCAGCAAAGCUGGCCUGGCUUUUAGACCUGACAAGGGGGAAGCACGAGAAUCUCGGAACUGAGGCAAAAGAACGAGGAGGACAGGAAAGGAGACGUUCUUUGCUUGCCGGCAGGUGUCCCCGGUCCUUUCACCCGAUCCCGUGUCAUCUCUGAGCAGCUGGUCAUCAGAUCCUGGGCAGGAAAGCUCCCCCGCCCGACCGUGAUGCAGGGGACGGGGACAGUGGAAAUGCGGCAAACCGCAGGGGCGUCCGUGCGCAUGGCCGGACGGUCGGCGCUGCCGGGAUGUUCGAGGGCAACUACAGAAUGUUCUCAAAGCCCGAAAGCCACAGCCGCACAACGGCGGGUCGUUUCGGGGGGCCUCAGCCUCCGCCGCUCUGCUGCUACCACAGCUGUUUCCUGGAAGGGCCGCAGUCUGAGAACACGGCCCCAGCACUCUGCCUGCUGGUGAAGCUCACGCUUUGGCGUCCCUCGCGUGGCCCCGUCCGGGGCCCCGACCUCGUGUUGCAUUCGUUCUCUUAAAAAAGUCUCCACAAGUUGUAUGCGCUUCAAGCCCUUACGGUAGGAAGUUGAGCAUACACGGGCUUAACUCAAGAAGACGCAAAGCCCACCUGACAUGGGAGAAAGGGAAAUGAGCCUUUGUCCUGAAAGGUCGCUGCAGUUCACUGCUGAUUCUACCGGCUCUUUCUCGUUCAGUGUCAUUAAUUUAGGAAAAGUUACAAUCACCAUACUCUCUACCCACCUCGCUCUCAGCACAACCUCCCCACAUGGCUGGAUGUGGAUACUCACCUACCUUGGCAUCUGCUUCAAGAGAGGAGACAGGGGGGCCUGUUCUGGAGAGAAGGAAGUCAACUUUUCUUCACUUUGGAACAACUGACGCAUUUCUCUUUCCUUCCUGUCGGGCCAGUGCUGAAGCGGGGCAGCGUCUGCGCCCGCCCAGACAGCUUCUGUGGUUGCCCCCACAUCGCCAAGGACCUCAGGAGCGAGGCCACCCAAAGCCACACCCAGGGGCUCUUGUAGGCCAACAGUCCACGGUCUUCAGCUGGAGGACAGACGAAGCUGACGUUCCUGAAACUUUCACCCCUACCAGGGAAACCCCAAGACAGACUAGAGGCUUCAAAUAUUCAAACGUUUUCACAUUUGCAAGGGGUUUCACAUUGACCUCAAGUGUAAAUGACUGAUCACAUUGUGAAGAAUGGUUACAAACACAAGAAUAACAAGACUGGCAUAAGCUUUGGAGGGGGGAGGGUGCACCGCGGGGCAGGGGCAGGGGAUUUCACUGAGGUAUCCCAUACAAAUAGAAUACGAUAAAAUCACAAGCGGGGGGAACACACCCCUAUCAAGAAACUACAACGGCACCCCAGAAGCCCCUUUGUCUGCCCUUCCAGUUACUACCUUCUCCCCAAAGAUGACUAUUUUCCUGAUCUCUAACACCACUGAGUCGCUUUCCUGUUUUUGCACUUUGUGUCAAUCAAUGAACGUAUAUAAUAUG